rnacentral:rRNA from 1 species
GACGAACGCUGGCGGCGUGCUUAACACAUGCAAGUCGAACGGAAAGGCCCUGCUUUUGUGGGGUGCUCGAGUGGCGAACGGGUGAGUAACACGUGAGUAACCUGCCCUUGACUUUGGGAUAACUUCAGGAAACUGGAGCUAAUACCGGAUAGGAGCUCCUGCUGCACGGUGGGGGUUGGAAAGAUUCGGCGGUUGGGGAUGGACUCGCGGGUUACCAGCUUGUUGGUGGGGUAGUGGCUUACCAAGGCUUUGACGGGUAGCCGGCCUGAGAGGGUGACCGGCCACAUGGGUACUGAGAGACGGCCCAGACUCCUACGGGAGGCAGCAGUGGGGAAUAUUGCACAAUGGGCGGAAGCCUGAUGCAGCAACGCCGCGUGCGGGAUGACGGCCUUCGGGUUGUAAACCGCUUUCGCCUGUGACGAAGCGUGAGUGACGGUAAUGGGUAAAGAAGCACCGGCUAACUACGUG